UGGGGAAUAUUGCACAAUGGGCGCAAGCCUGAUGCAGCCAUGCCGCGUGUGUGAAGAAGGCCUUCGGGUUGUAAAGCACUUUCAGCGAGGAGGAAGGCAUUAAGGUUAAUAACCUUAGUGAUUGACGUUACUCGCAGAAGAAGCACCGGCUAACUCCGUGCCAGCAGCCGCGGUAAUACGGAGGGUGCAAGCGUUAAUCGGAAUUGACUGGGCGUAA
rnacentral:rRNA from 1 species